rnacentral:lncRNA from 1 species
UAAGAAACUAAUAGAAGUAUAAUAGCAUAACUAAAGUUGAUUAAAAAAACCCAAAUGAAUCGGUAAAUAGUACAUGUGAUUACGACAGUAGUUGAAAUUCAGGUGAUGGAUUUUGGAGAAGAGGUUUUUAUUUCUUUUCUUUUGAUGCAUAGUAAUAGUGGAGAAGUGUUAGGUUUUAGGGAAGAGAAAAUUUUUUUUUUUUCCUUAAUAAUUGAUGGAUAUUUUUGUAAUUAAACAUACCUAUAAAAUCUGAUGUAAAAUAUAAAAUAAUAGGGGUGUGUAUUAAGAGAUUAGAGGUGUGUAUUUAAAAUUUCUCCAAAUGUAAUUGAAACAACUCCAAAACAAAAUGCAUGACCAGAUGACAUCCAAAGUGUAAAUUAAAAUAUGUGAUAGAUAUUAAAAUCUUGUCUAAACAUCAAUAUUCCUAAAACAGACACACCCAUAACCAUUCAGCUAGGCACAUCAAAUAAUACGAAAUUAAAAAGUACUCACCACGAACCUCACCAAGACCAAAAUAUUAAUACAUUGAAAGCUUUUCCAAUACAAACCAAACUAUUAACUUGCAAGUAAAAAAAAAAACAGAUAAAGUAAAUACCUGUCGUGACACUGAGGAUCACCGCCGGAAAAACAGAAAGAAACGUCUGCAAAACAGUUAGACACCCAAUUUGAUUAAACCAAAAAGAUUACUAACAUGCAAACCCAACCAAACCAAAAAACUUAAACAGCUAAUCCAAACAAAAGAACCGAUAAGCACCUGAGAGAAUGAGAUUGAUUGCAGACAGCGAAAGAACCAACACUGAAAACAGAACAAAAAUUAUCAACCCCAACCAAACAAUUGAUACUGAUGUUUUCAUUAAUUAUUUUUUUUUUUUUCCAUUAGAAAAGCUCAACGGCCCUGAUUCCGUAAUAUGGUAGGAUAGCAGCAACUCAACUUAAAUUAUAAUCAAAGGAUUACAACUAUCACCAU